rnacentral:rRNA from 1 species
GAUGAACGCUGGCGGCGUGCCUAAUACAUGCAAGUCGAGCGAACAGAUGAUUAUCUUGCUCCUCUGACGUUAUCGGCGGACGGGUGUGUAACACGUGUAUAACCUACCUAUAUUACUGGUAUAACUUCGGGAAACCGGAUCUAAUACCGGAUAAUAUAUUGAUCCGCAUGGUUCUAUAGUUAAUUUCGUUUUUUCUGUCUCUUAUAGAUUGUUCCGCGCCGCAUUAGCUAGUUGGUAAGGUAACGGCUUACCAAGGCAACGAUGCGUAGCCGACCUGAGGGGGUGAUCGGCCACACUGGAACUGAGACACGGUACAGACACCUACGGGAGGCAGCAGUAGGGAAUGUUCCGCAAUGGGCGAAAGCAUGACGGAGCAAGGCCGCGUGAGUGAUGAAGGUCUUGGGAUCGUAAAACUCUGUUAUUAGGGAAGAACAAAUGUGUAAGUAACUAUGCACGUAUUGACGGUAACUAAGAAGAAAGCCACGGCUAACUACGUG